rnacentral:rRNA from 1 species
UACGUAGGGUGCGAGCGUUGUCCGGAAUUAUUGGGCGUAAAGGGCUCGUAGGCGGUUUGUCGCGUCGGGAGUGAAACACCGGCUUAACUCGGUGCUUGCUUUCGAUACGGGCAGACUGGAGGUAUGCAGGGGAGAACGGAAUUCCUGGUGUAGCGGUGAAAUGCACAGAUAUCAGGAGGAACACCGGUGGCGAAGGCGGUUCUCUGGGCAUGUCCUGACGCUGAGGAGCGAAAGCGUGGGGAGCAAACAGG